rnacentral:lncRNA from 1 species
AUAAAUUAUCUUAUUGUUUAUUUUUAAUACAAAUACAUUUCUUUGGGAGAGAUGAGUAAAUCAAAUAUCAUUAUGAAUGUUCUUAUCUAAAAAUGCCUGUAAACAGUCCAUUUGCCAAUUUAAAAUUUAUUUUUGAUUCUGUUACACAAACUUUUUACACAAAUUGCUUACCUUUGUCAAUCGUAGUCUUAAUCUAUACCAGACAAAUUUGGCUUUUGACAAGGCAAGCAUGGUAAAGAUGAAAACGGUAUAUAAGAUUUUUAACUACUUUUUAAGGAAAAAUAACUACUGGAAAUUUGUGGCUUAUCAAGAAAUUAAAUGAAUUUAAAAGUUUUGAAAACUUAGGUUACACAGUACACACAAAUAAAUUAGCUCUUUCAGUUAGCUCUUGGUUAUCAAUGAAAAUUUAUGUUCUUUCUAAGGGAGACAACUAAAACUGGAUCUGUAAUUACAGGGUCAAUUACAGGAAUUGGCAAAUAGACUAUUUCAGGCUACAAAACAGUUAAAAACUAAAUGUGUUCAUUCUUUUUCCACUAUGAACAAUAUUUAUAUAUGAAAAUGUUGAAGCUUUAGAGUAAUUUUUAUAUGCUGUAUUUGUAUUGUAAGAAAGAUGCAGACAUUUAUUGAAUGUUAUAAAAAAAUCUUGUUAUUUGUUGAAUGAUGCACUCUGGUUAGAUAAGUAUGCAAUCUUUUACAUUAUGGAGGUUCACUUAAGAUGAAUUAAUGUAAUACAUGAAAUACAUGUCAACACUGAUGCAUUGAAGUACUUAGAAAUCUUGAUUGGUUCACAAAAAUAUAUGUAGGCUUUGCAUAAUAUUGGACAAAGUUUGUAUACUUGAUAAUCUGAUGUAAAAAGUAAUAGUUAACAAUACAAUUCAAAGAUGACUAUCAUAAUCAAAUAUUUAUCCUGCUUUAAUUAGGAACUUACUAGUAAGAGAAUGAAAUGGAAAUAGGAAUUUUGAAAGAUUUUUGUCAUUUAUAGAUAACUACAAUAGUACAUUUAAAGUAUGUUGCAAAAUUGAAUUGAUAUGAAAAGCUUAAUGGGAAUGAAAUAUCUGUCAUUGACAAUAGUUCUUAUCUAUUGAUAUGCAUCAUUGUAUUUCUUGGAGAAAUAAUGCAAUUAAAGCAAAUAAAAAGAAAAGUC